rnacentral:piRNA from 1 species
UGGUUUGGGACUUCAGUGAUUUGGAACAAG